ACCUGCCCAGAAGCGGGGGAUAACACCUGGAAACAGAUGCUAAUACCGCAUAACAACUUGGACCGCAUGGUCCGAGUUUGAAAGAUGGCUUCGGCUAUCACUUUUGGAUGGUCCCGCGGCGUAUUAGCUAGAUGGUGAGGUAACGGCUCACCAUGGCAAUGAUACGUAGCCGACCUGAGAGGGUAAUCGGCCACAUUGGGACUGAGACACGGCCCAAACUCCUACGGGAGGCAGCAGUAGGGAAUCUUCCACAAUGGACGAAAGUCUGAUGGAGCAACGCCGCGUGAGUGAAGAAGGGUUUCGGCUCGUAAAACUCUGUUGUUAAAGAAGAACAUAUCUGAGAGUAACUGUUCAGGUAUUGACGGUAUUUAACCAGAAAGCCACGGCUAACUACGUGCCAGCAGCCGCGGUAAUACGUAGGUGGCAAGCGUUGUCCGGAUUUAUUGGGCGUAAAGCGAGCGCAGGCGGUUUUUUAAGUCUGAUGUGAAAGCCUUCGGCUCAACCGAAGAAGUGCAUCGGAAACUGGGAAACUUGAGUGCAGAAGAGGACAGUGGAACUCCAUGUGUAGCGGUGAAAUGCGUAGAUAUAUGGAAGAACACCAGUGGCGAAGGCGGCUGUCUGGUCUGUAACUGACGCUGAGGCUCGAAAGUAUGGGUAGCAACAGGAUUAGAUACCCUGGUAGUCCAUACCGUAAACGAUGAAUGCUAAGUGUUGGAGGGUUUCCGCCCUUCAGUGCUGCAGCUAACGCAUUAAGCAUUCCGCCUGGGGAGUACGGCCGCAAGGCUGAAACUCAAAGGAAUUGACGGGGGCCCGCACAAGCGGUGGAGCAUGUGGUUUAAUUCGAAGCUACGCGAAGAACCUUACCAGGUCUUGACAUACUAUGCAAAUCUAAGAGAUUAGACGUUCCCUUCGGGGACAUGGAUACAGGUGGUGCAUGGUUGUCGUCAGCUCGUGUCGAGAGAUGUUGGGUUAAGUCCCGCAACGAGCGCAACCCUUAUUAUCAGUUGCCAGCAUUAAGUUGGGCACUCUGGUGAGACUGCCGGUGACAAACCGGAGGAAGGUGGGGAUGACGUCAAAUCAUCAUGCCCCUUAUGACCUGGGCUACACACGUGCUACAAUGGAUGGUACAACGAGUUGCGAACUCGCGAGAGUAAGCUAAUCUCUUAAAGCCAUUCUCAGUUCGGAUUGUAGGCUGCAACUCGCCUACAUGAAGUCGGAAUCGCUAGUAAUCGCGGAUCAGCAUGCC
rnacentral:rRNA from 1 species